GCCUGCUUUGGGGCUUCACUCAGUUGGGAGAGCAUGAGGCUCUUAACUUCAGGGUUGUGGGUUUGAGCCCCACGUUGGGCA